AUGGAGGUUCCGGAAGAUCGUAGAGUUCCUUUGGUCGCAUACAAGCUGAAAGGAGGAGCCGGUGCAUGGUGGCAUCGCGUUCAAGAAGAGCGCAGGCUGAGAGGAGAACCUCGUCUGAGAACUUGGCGGCAAAUGAAAAGUCUCUUGAAAGGGAGAUUUUUGCCCGCUGAUUAUGACCAGAUCCUAUUUAUCCAAUUUCAAAAUUGUGCUCAAGGAAAUAUGACUGUUUCAGAUUACAUGGAGGAGUUUCUAAGGCUACAAGUGAGGUACAAGCUUGCUGAAACUGAAGAUCAGCAAGUUGCAAGGUACAUCAAUGGUCUCAAUGAUGUUAUUCAAGAUCAAUUGAUGGUGCAACAAAUCUGGUCCGUUGAUCAAGCACAAGCUCUAGCCUUAAAGGCCGAGAGGCUUGUGAGGAUGAGAAAGACAACUAAGGCUCCAUAUCCUCCAUAUCCUCAUACCAAAGGCUCAUCUAGGAGCCAACCUAAUAGAGUGAAAGAAAAUAACACUCCACCAAAGAAGGCCCAUCCCGAAGCAAACUAA
rnacentral:rRNA from 1 species